GAUGAAGAACGUAGCGAAAUGCGAUAAGUAAUGUGAAUUGCAGAAUUCAGUGAAUCAUCGAAUCUUUGAACGCACAUUGCGCCCCCCAGUAUUCUGGCGGGCAUGCCUGUUCGAGCGUCAUUUCAACCAUCAAGCCCUGCUUGUGUUGGGGUCCUGCGGCUGCCCGCAGGCCCUGAAAACCAGUGGCGGGCUCGCUAGUCACACCGAGCGCAGUAGCACAUCUCGCUCAGGGCGUGCGGCGGGCUCCAGCCGUUAAAGCACCCACCUUACGCAAGGUUGACCUCGGAUCAGGUAGGAAUACCCGCUGAACUUAAGCAUAUCAAUAAGCGGAGGA
rnacentral:misc_RNA from 1 species